CUAGAAAUGCUGAUGAAGCCUUUCGGCCGGAACCGCCAUCUUCCAGUAAUUUGCCAAAAUGACGAACACAAAGGGAAAGAGGAGAGGCACCCGAUAUAUGUUCUCUAGGCCUUUUAGAAAACAUGGAGUUGUUCCUUUGGCCACGUAUAUGCGAAUCUAUAAGAAAGGUGAUAUCGUAGACAUCAAGGGAAUGGGUACCGUUCAAAAAGGAAUGCCCCACAAGUGUUACCAUGGCAAAACUGGGAGAGUCUACAACGUUACCCAGCAUGCUGUUGGCAUUGUUGUAAACAAACAAGUUAAGGGCAAGAUUCUUGCCAAGAGAAUUAAUGUAUGUAUUGAGCACAUUAAGCAUUCUAAGAGCAGAGAUAGCUUCCUGAAACGCGUGAAGGAAAAUGAUCAGAAAAAGAAAGAAGCCAAAGAGAAAGGUACCUGGGUUCAACUGAAGCGCCAGCCUGCUCCACCCAGAGAAGCACACUUUGUGAGAACCAGUGGGAAGGAGCCUGAGCUGCUGGAACCUAUUCCCUAUGAAUUCAUGGCAUAAUAGGUGUUAAAAAAAAAAAUAAAAGACCUCUGGGCUGAAAAA